rnacentral:rRNA from 1 species
GACGAACGCUGGCGGCGUGCUUAACACAUGCAAGUCGAACGAUGAACUUGGAGCUUGCUCUGGGGGAUUAGUGGCGAACGGGUGAGUAACACGUGAGUAACCUGCCCUGGACUCUGGGAUAACUUCGAGAAAACGGAGCUAAUACCGGAUAGGACCUUGCACCGCAUGGGGAGGGGUGGAAAGUUUUUCGGUUUGGGGUGGAUUCGCGGCCUAUGAGCUUGUUGGUGGGGUAAUGGCUCACCAGGGAGUCGACGGGUAGCCGGCCUGAGAGGGUGACCGGCCACACUGGGGCUGAGACACGGCCCAGACUCCUACGGGGGGCAGCAGUGGGGAAUAUUGCACAAUGGGCGCAAGCCUGAUGCAGCAACGCCGCGUGCGGGAUGACGGCCUUCGGGUUGUAAACCGCUUUUAGUAGGGAAGAAGCCUUCGGGUGACGGUACCUGCAGAAAAAGGACCGGCUAACUACGUGCCAGCCGCCGCGGUAAAAC